rnacentral:precursor_RNA from 1 species
AGAAAUUAUCCUUGAUGUGUUCGCUUUAUUUAUGAUGAAUCAUACAAGGACAAUUUCUCU